AGCAGCCGCGGUAAUUCCAGCUCCAAUAGCGUAUAUUAAAGUUGUUGCAGUUAAAAAGCUCGUAGUUGAAUUUCGGGAUCAGAAGGUUGGUCAUGCCUUUGGUAUGUACUGGUCUCACUGAUUCCUCCCUCUUGAAGAACUGUAAUGUCAUUAAUUUGGUGUUGCGGGGAAUCAGGACUGUUACUUUGAAAAAAGUUAGAGUGUUAAAGCAGGCCUAAGCUUGAAUACAUUAGCAUGGAAUAAUGAAAUAGGACGUUUGAUCCUAUUUUGUUGGUUUCUAGGAUUGACGUAAUGAUUAAUAGGGAUAGUUGGGGGCAUUAGUAUUCAAUUGUCAGAGGUGAAAUUCUUGGAUUUAUUGAAGACUAACUACUGCGAAAGCAUUUGCCAAGGAUGUUUUCAUUAAUCAAGAACGAAAGUUAGGGGAUCGAAGACGAUCAGAUACCGUCGUAGUCUUAACCAUAAACUAUGCCGACUAGGGAUCGGAUGAUGUUAAUUUUUUUAAUGACUCAUUCGGCGCCUU
rnacentral:rRNA from 1 species